UGUUUACGACGGAAACGGGUGUUAUGAAAAUAAGGGAGUCUCCAUGAAAAACCGUUACCAGAAAAGAAAAAAAAACAGAAAAUUCGAAAAUGUGGGAGGAAAUCGCCAUUAUUCUUAUUGUCAUUAUUAUUGUUAUUGGCAUUGUCGCGUACCGCCUCUGCCCCCACCCCUCGGCCGACGCUGCGUAGCGAUCGACAUGCGAUCGACCAUUCCAGUGUCGAUCGCCUCAAAGAUGAAGUGGGAGCCGUUCAAGGGUUCCGGUGUCAUCUCUGUCGGCUCGUGAAUUCCUCUUCCCCUCUCCUCUCUCUCCCUGCCUCAUUGUUCCUCACUUUCUUUAGGGUUUUCUCCUCGCCCGGCGCUGCGCAUCGAUCGAUCAUUCCGACGCCGGCCGCCUCAACGAUGAAGUGGGAGCCGUCCAAGGUUCCGGUGUCACCCUGACAGCUCUAUGGAGCUUUCGUGCCCUCAGAGCUAUCUCGUGGUCGCUUCGGUCGAUCCUGAGCCAUGGACCUCCGUGGACGAUCUCGUGUCCGGGCUCAAAGCCCUAGAGUCACGGCUCGGAUAUAAUUCUCCACCGGUGCCUCUCAAGCAACCCCCUGAAUGAUCUCUCCUCGACAAAAGGCAAUGGAUGUGAGAGACAAAACGAGGCUGGGAGGGAGCACGGCGGCUGGCUGGAGGAUCUCCUGCCCUGAUUUUGAUUUCA